GAUGAACGCUGGCGGCGUGCCUAAUACAUGCAAGUCGAGCGAACGGACGAGAAGCUUGCUUCUCUGAUGUUAGCGGCGGACGGGUGUGUAACACGUGGAUAACCUACCUAUAAGACUGGGAUAACUUCGGGAAACCGGAGCUAAUACCGGAUAAGAUUUUGAACCACAUGGUUCAAAAGUGAGAGACGGUGUUGCUGGCUCUUAUAGAUGGAUCCGCGCUGCAUUAGCUAGUUGGUAAGGUAACGGCUUACCAAGGCAACGAUGCAUAGCCGACCUGAGAGGGUGGUCGGCCACACUGGAACUGAGACACGGUCCAGACUACUACGGGAGGCAGCAGUAGGGAAUCGUACGCAAUGGGCGAAAGCCUGACGGAGCAACGCCGCGUGAGUGAUGACGGUCUUCGGAUCGUAAAACUCUGUUAUUAGGGAUGAACAUAUGUGUAAGUAAAUGAGCACAUCUUGACGGUACCUAAUCAGAAAGCCACGGCUAACUACGUG
rnacentral:rRNA from 1 species